UACGUAGGGACCGAGCGUUGUCCGGAAUCAUUGGGCGUAAAGAGCUCGUAGGCGGUGUGUCGCGUCGGCCGUGAAAACCUGGGGCUUAACUCUGGGCGUGCGGUCGAUACGGGCAUCACUAGAGUUCGGCAGGGGAGACUGGAAUUCCUGGUGUAGCGGUGAAAUGCGCAGAUAUCAGGAGGAACACCGGUGGCGAAGGCGGGUCUCUGGGCCGAUACUGACGCUGAGGAGCGAAAGCAUGGGUAGCGAACAGG
rnacentral:rRNA from 1 species